rnacentral:rRNA from 1 species
UACGGGGGGGGGCAAGCGUUGUUCGGAAUUACUGGGCGUAAAGCGUGCGCAGGCGGUUCGUUAUGUCCGAUGUGAAAGCCCCGAGCUUAACUUGGGAAUGGCAUUGGAAACUGGCGGGCUGGAGUGCGGCAGAGGGGGGUGGAAUUCCACGUGUAGCAGUGAAAUGCGUAGAGAUGUGGAGGAACACCGAUGGCGAAGGCAGCCCCCUGGGCCGACACUGACGCCUCAGGCACGAAAGCGUGGGGAGCAAACAGG